rnacentral:lncRNA from 1 species
GCCGUCGCCAUAUUGGGAUAAUCAUAAUUCCAGUUACGAUUAUUUCUUUAAUACCAGUGAGAAUGUUGUCGAAAAUAGCUAAAAAUGAAUUGCGUUUCAGAGCUAGAAAGAGUCUGGGAAACGCUCAGAAUGCACGAUUUUGAGUCAAUUUUUCAGAGCUUCUGGGGGGCUUCAGCUGCCCGAGACCCCUCGCCGAAAAUUUGUUUUGCCUCACUUCUAAAAGAGGCUAGUCAUGGCCCUGGUAUUAUUAAGCCUUUAGUUUUUGUCAAGCUUGUGACUUUAGUCGCAGAAAGCUCGACGAAGUGAUCUUGCGGCGGUUUUAGCUAGCUUCAAGGUGGAAGACCUGAUGCUUCAUACUUUGCAUAAAUAUAUGAUAUCUUAAUAUCUGUCUGUGAGUUAGUUGAUGAAGACAAAAUAUAACUUGAAAGAUAAAUAUUUAAAUCAGGCUUUCUACACUAGGCACGAGGUUGGCAUGGUGGGGUAUAGGACACAUCGUACAAGUUCUAUUACCUUUCUGUUUGUGAUAUUUUUUAUCAAACUUCUAAUACUUUAUCCUUUUCGUAAUAUGUGCACUUUGGAAUGUCGAUAAGCAUUGUCCCUUGGUGCCUCUUGCAGUUGUGUCACUUUAAAAAGUACUGACUCCUCUGCACCAGGCACGAGGAUGACAUACCAGUUAUGUGCAACUUCUUACAAUAUUUUACCAUAUCAUUAAUGUCCUGAUACACAGUUUAAUAUGCACCCACCAUGCCAUAUAGCACCGUCCCUUGGUGCCUCCUGCAGUUCGGCUAGAUAUAUUCGGCC